rnacentral:rRNA from 1 species
AUCGGNCCACAAUGGGACUGAGACACGGCCCAUACUCCUACGGGAGGCAGCAGUAGGGAAUCUUCCACAAUGGNGCGCAAG